UUCUCUUCUCUUCUCUUCUCUUCUCUUCUUUCAGAACACAAGACUUAUUGAACAUGACUGCUGGGUUCAUUCAGUGUCUAAACAGGACCUCACUGCAAAUCCCAAUCUACUUGAGCAGACGUAUAUUAAAAUGCCACGGGCAAUACCAUAUUAUAGUGUCAGUAGUAAUGAUAAUAAACAAUGAUAAGGAAUUUCUUGGCCUCUUUUAUAUUAAAAGAAAUAAGAGCAUCAUGUCUCACAUUGCAGGAAAAAAAUCAGUAGUUGACAAGAGGUUAAGACUGGUAUACAGCACAAUGAAAAAGUUAAAUAUGGAGAAAUAUCAGAUACCAUUUAUUUCAUCAACAAUAGCAGUGUUAUGUUAUGUUAUAAAUACAGCUUUCACUUCUAUUUCUACAUCUGGCAGCCAAUGCCAAUAUGUAAAGCAACUUAGAAGUGGUUCUGUAUACUGGGAACUUUUUUGCCAACAAAGAUGAGGAGAGCUAGGUGAAGUUUCUUUUGUCUCAGUCAGAUGCUGUUCACCUUUCAGCAGGCAUUGGGCUUUCUGUUUAUUCUUCCCCUCUGAAUCUGUUCUGUUCCUCUAGACCCUCUUAUAUUCAUCCUCUGCUACCUGCCUGCUUUCUAAGAGUUUCUCAGUUUUUGCUCUCCCUUUACCCACACUCCAUCAAUUUUCUCUAACUCAUGUACUCCUUUGUAUUCUGCUUCUUACACUCCAGAGGAUGAAUUUGAUUUUUCAACUAGCAACACAGGAGGAGCCUCUCUUCCUCCUGUUGUCAGCUCUGUGUUAUUUCUAAAGAGUGGCUGCUGAUGUGAAAAGGUUUGCCAGAAUGAAGUCUUGCUCAUGACUGUAAGAAUUACAAAAAGCACUGUGUUAUGGAAAACUAAAAAAGAAGAUCCUGGAAAACAGAAAGGACCACCUGGAUUCUGUCCUGCAUAGUGCUUUGUUCUUGUUUAAAUCUGUAAGUGUUCCAGAAUGGUUGACUUGAAAGCAAAUAUUUUUCUCCCCAUUCUUUGGAUAUCCGAAGGCCCUACAAAUGUCAGCCUGGCAGUAAGGGUAGUGAAUAUGCAGUGACUGUGUUACCAGAUUUGUAUAUUUUGUCAGAUUUGCUUCUCUUCUUUAUCUCCACCCCUAUUCCACUUUGAUGUCUUAACGUGUUUGCGAUUAGACUAACAUAAAAUUACCAAAACCAACAAACAAAGCAGCUUAGCUAAGAUUGAUUGAACUGCUUCUGGGAAAACAAGAACUAACUUGAACUUUUUUAAAAAAUAAUUUAAGAAUUUGGCACUUACCUGAAGCUUAUACAGCUCUUGUGGGAUUUUUCCCAUCUGUGCCGAAGUUAUCCUAUUAUUUUUUCCUUUUACUCUUGCUAAAGCUUGAAGAUGAAUGUACAUACAUUGCAAGUAAGCAUUUCUCAGCUACCAGUAAAAAAUUUGAAAUGCUGUCAAAUACUAAAGGUGUUUUGAGAAACCUAUUAAAAAUGCUGCCCUCUUAUGACCUUAAUUUUCAUAUAUUUUAUAUGUGCUUAUAAUAGAACAGCAUGAUUCAUUAAAUACAUAGCUUGACAUUUGGGUUCACCGUAUGUUUUUGAAUGUCGAAAUGAAAGUGAUUCUACUUCAACAGUUUUUUCUUAUAGUGUACUUUGAACAGAACAUUACAGAUGGUGCU
ensembl:lncRNA